UACGUAGGGUGCAAGCGUUAAUCGGAAUUACUGGGCGUAAAGGGCGCGUAGGCGGCCACCGCAAGUCGACUGUGAAAUCUCCGGGCUUAACCCGGAAAGGUCAGCCGAUACUGCGGGGCUAGAGUGCAGAAGGGCAAUCGGAAUUCUUGGUGUAGCGGUGAAAUGCGUAGAUAUCAAGAGGAACACCAGUGGCGAAGGCGGCUGACUGGUCCGGUUCUGACGCUGAUGAGCGAAAGCUAGGGGAGCAAACGGG
rnacentral:rRNA from 1 species